GACGAACGCUGGCGGCGUGCCUAAUACAUGCAAGUUGAGCGCUGAAGGUUGGUACUUGUACCAACUGGAUGAGCAGCGAACGGGUGAGUAACGCGUGGGGAAUCUGCCUUUGAGCGGGGGACAACAUUUGGAAACGAAUGCUAAUACCGCAUAAAAACUUUAAACACAAGUUUUAAGUUUGAAAGAUGCAAUUGCAUCACUCAAAGAUGAUCCCGCGUUGUAUUAGCUAGUUGGUGAGGUAAAGGCUCACCAAGGCGAUGAUACAUAGCCGACCUGAGAGGGUGAUAGGCCACAUUGGGACUGAGACACGGCCCAAACUCCUACGGGAGGCAGCAGUAGGGAAUCUUCGGCAAUAGACGAAAGUCUGACCGAGCAACGCCGCGUGAGUGAAGAAGGUUUUAGGAUCGUAAAACUCUGUUGGUAGAGAAGAACGUUGGUGAGAGUGGAAAGCUCAUCAAGUGACGGUAACUACCCAGAAAGGGACGGCUAACUACGUG
rnacentral:rRNA from 1 species